rnacentral:rRNA from 1 species
ACGUAGGGUCCGAGCGUUGUCCGGAAUUAUUGGGCGUAAAGGGCUCGUAGGCGGUUUGUCGCGUCGGGAGUGAAAACAUCUGGCCUAACUGGGUGCUUGCUUUCGAUACGGGCAGACUGGAGGUAUGCAGGGGAGAACGGAAUUCUCGGUGUAGCGGUGAAAUGCGUAGAUAUCGAGAGGAACACCUGCGGCGAAGGCGGGUUGCUGGGCUGACACUGACGCUGAUGCGCGAAAGCCAGGGGAGCGAACGGGA